ACCCAGAUCUACGGAACAACAGAGGGAAACUUCUGCUAAUACCGUAUACGCCCUACGGGGGAAAGAUUUAUCGGAUUUGGAUGAGCCCGCGUAAGAUUAGCUAGUUGGUGAGGUAAUGGCUCACCAAGGCGACGAUCUUUAGCUGGUCUGAGAGGAUGAUCAGCCACACUGGGACUGAGACACGGCCCAGACUCCUACGGGAGGCAGCAGUGGGGAAUAUUGGACAAUGGGCGCAAGCCUGAUCCAGCCAUGCCGCGUGAGUGAUGAAGGCCUUAGGGUUGUAAAGCUCUUUCAGUGGGGGAGAUAAUGACGGUACCCACAGAAGAAGCCCCGGCUAACUUCGUGCCAGCAGCCGCGGUAAUACGAAGGGGGCUAGCGUUGUUCGGAUUUACUGGGCGUAAAGCGCACGUAGGCGGUUUGUUAAGUCAGAGGUGAAAUCCUGGAGCUCAACUCCAGAACUGCCUUUGAUACUGGCAAGCUCGAGUCCGGAAGAGGUAAGUGGAACUCCUAGU
rnacentral:rRNA from 1 species